rnacentral:lncRNA from 1 species
GGAGGCUGAAGCAGCGAUGGGGCAGUGUGGUGGCAAGCAGCCAGGGCUCAUCCUGAUGUACGAUUUGCACUCACAUCCCUCUCCUCCAGCCCUCUCUCCCAACGCACACAUGCCUGGGCUGGGCAGGCCUGGGCAUCGGCGGCUUCGCUGUGCCAGGG